rnacentral:rRNA from 1 species
GGGGUUGCAGCAGGAGUGAAAACAGUAUAAUCCUGGAAACAGUGAUUAGGGGACGUCGAGUUUCAGGUUAUACAUAUGGCAGUGAUGACGCUUAAAAAGCAGCGGAUAGCAAGGGCCGGUCAAGACCGGUUCCGGCUACCGGGGUAUCUCAUGCGGCUCGAGCCGUUACCGUUAGUACCGGGUCUUAAGGUUCGGUAGCCGGCGGGACAAUUGUCAUGGGAAAUCCAGCAGGGAAAACAAGAGGUCAUCCGGAGACAUGAUGUGCCUCUAACCUCUCAGAGCUUAGAGCUCAGAUCAGGAUGUACGGGGAGAAAUCUCGAUAAUACACGUGAGGGACCUUCCACGUGGAGAAGGUGUCUCACCAGAACGGACCGUAAGGCAAGGGAAGAAAGGUAUGGGGCACGAACCGGAUGAGAUACCCGGGUAGUCGUAGCCGUAUAACGAUACUCGCUAGGUGUCGGAACACGGUGCGACCGUCGUCGGAGCCGUAGGGAAACCGUGAAGCGAGCCACCUCGGAAGUACGGCCGCAAGCAUGAAACAUAAA